CGCGAACUGGCGGCUGCCUAACACAUGCAGUCGUACGGAGAGUGGGGCAACUCACUCUCAGUGGCAAACGGGUGAGUAACGCGUGAAUAACCUGCCUUUGAGAAGGGGAUAACUGUCCGAAAGGAUAGCUAAUACCCUAUAUUGCCUUUUGUCACUAAGGCAAAAGGUGAAAGCGAGGCUGUCAAAGGCUUCGGCUCAAAGAGGGGUUCGCGUCCUAUCAGGUAGUUGGUGGGGUAAUGGCCUACCAAGCCAAUGACGGGUAGCUGGUCUUAGAGGAUGAUCAGCCACAGUGGGACUGAAACACGGCCCGCACCCCUACGGGGGGCAGCAGUGGGGAAUCGUGGGCAAUGGGCGCAAGCCUGACCCCGCAAUGCCGCGUGAGGGAAGAAGCCCUUCGGGGUGUAAACCUCUGUUAGAUGGGAAGAUGAGACUAGGAGCUAAUACCUCCUGGUCUUGACGGUACCAUCAAAGGAAGGGACGGCUAACUACGUGCCAGCAGCCGCGGUAAU
rnacentral:rRNA from 1 species